ACUGGAUUCAAUGGAUCCAAAUCAAAAUUUUCAAUCUAUCCCUCUCAAAUCGCCAAAUAGCAACGAAAACAAUAUAAAAAUAGAUGUCUCACCUGCGUCAAAAGUUAGCUUCAAAGACAAGCUUCCACUCAACGAAAAAAAAUUGAAAUCAAAAUGAAUUUCUCCAAUAAUAUUUUGCUUGACGAAGCAGAAGAUCAAUUGGAAUCCCGACAGAAGAUGAUACGGUGACCAAUGAAUUUAAAGUCAUUCAUCUUUUCGGGAAAGUAAAAAUCCAACUACACUCACCUUGAAAAUACUCUCUAAUCAUCAAGUUACUGGUGUGUGUGUGUGUGUGUGUUUGUGCAUCAUUGUCUUAAAACAAAGAUUCAAGAUCUAUGGAGACCUUCAGAGCAAUUUCUU
rnacentral:lncRNA from 1 species